ACCACUCCUUAUCCAGAAUCUGGCCAUGACUCAGCGGCUGUGGUGGGAUCUUGUGUCUCACGUUAAAUCAAUGGAACUUCCUUGCAUUGACAGGCCCUUGCCAUUUAAGUAGACAAGAAACAGGUACGAAUGGAUGCUGCAGGUUCCUCCCGACUGUGAGGCAUAAAUCUCAAGGGAACAGCAGCAGAAAGGUGAAAAACUGCUGGAAACACAGCACAAGAUUCAGGAUUUAUCUGGAGUUUUUCUUUUAGAUGUGAAUGACAAAAUGAUAGCAGCCUUCUUCCUGCCAAGGGUUAGCAAUUAGUACGGCAAAAGGAAAAGGUAAUUUGAUGGUGAGUUUGGCAAGGAGCUCUUACACAUGCCUUGAUGUUGCACUGCUAUUCUAAAGACAAUAAUGUAUAAAAUCACCUUUGACAAUGCAUUGCACCCUGGCAGUCCUUCCGGGAGAUUUUUGCUUAAAUAAGAGCCAGGCAAUGGCUCCACCAUGGAAGCUUGCUGCUUGUCUGUGACAGGCGAGGUCCCGCUUAAGCACACUGCACAUUUUAAAAGUUUGUAAGCAUUCUUGUGACAGUAUAAAAAUGGUUGGAGGGCAUCAGAUGCUAGGAUAAUGAGGUUGGUAUAAUUAGCCUUGAUGGAUAGGUAACGAGAUAGAGAAGCAUGGAUGAGAAUUAAUAGAUUAAACAGCCAGAUUAACUACUACUGUUUAAACAGUGACUCCUGACCCAGCCCUCCAGCUGCGAGUGAUCUGUCUCAGCUAGCUCUGCUAUAAAGCUGCAAGGCAGGGCAGCCUGCCCCUUUCCCUUGUAGGUUGGUUACUGGAAGAAGGAAUGCUAAAGUCAUUACAUCCCCUUCCCUCCCGUUCCAAGGGGAGGCAGGCUGUGCUGCUAGAACGGUAAGGAAGCAGGGGCUCUCCCAGAACUGCUGUGCUGCUCUGCUUCAGCUUUGCAUCUCGUCAACCCACACGUCCUCAUCUCCCGCUGCUGCAGGGAGCCGGCUCGGGCAGCGGCGGUGGGCGAGGAGGUGCAGAGCUGCUCCAUGCCGGUCUGGCCAGCGCUCGUCCCUCCCAGCCAGCGUUUUAGCUCCCGAGCAGUGCUCAGCGCCACGGGUGUUAGAAGAGCUGUGUUCUGAAUAAGGAUUCCUGAGAUCAAAUAGCAUCAUAUGAGCAGUCGAGGCAGAGCUCACCCCAAAAACUGAAUAGACGUAGCUUAGGUGAAUUUGUCUUGCUUAGACACAGCUCUUUGUAGCCGUUACCGAGGAUAAGGAAAAUAUAGGAAGCCAUCCUUAUGGUAAUCCCUGGGUUAAUGGUAAGCAUUAACGAAGUGAUUCCUCCAGCCUGCAGAACCCAUAGCAACCAGUCAUUAAGGACACUCAGCGUGAGGAUCCAAGCUAAAGAAAGAAAGUUCCUUGAAACACUUGCACACGCACAUACCAAUCAGACAAGAAAAUGUUCCGUAAUUUGUUCAAGACAGACUUGAAGACUACUUCAGUGGCCCCAUCUCUGAGGAAGGAAGGAACUAAUUGCAAAAGGAUUUUUAAAAGAAAGAUUGUAACUAGCCCCAAACAGUGAAAUGGAUUUUACUUCCUCUGCUCUGAUAAAUAUUUAAUUAUCAAAUGUAAUGCGAGGAUUGGGUUUUGUUCUUGGUUGUUUUGAUAGGCUUUUGUUUGUUUUUAUACAUACAUUUAUUUAUUUAUGUUCUGCAUUUCCAUUGCGACUGACAUUCUUGUGUGGCAUCUUCAGGCUGAUAUCUCUUAUAAUUAGAUGGAAUUGUCUUUUCAUAACGCUAAUCUGAACUGACUAAUUACUCAAUGAAUAUUUAGCUCCUUGCACAGGCAAACAGUAAGCAGGGAAGCAGCCCUCGCCGCCUGCCUGGUUCCCGGCUAACUCCGCUGAGAGCACGGGAGGGCUGCGGGCAUGGGGCCGAGGUGUGGGUGGUGCUGGGUGCCCCCCUGCUGGAGUGGCACCCCGAGACCUCUGCAGAGCUCAGCACCCUGCCUCGUCGCUCUCAUGGCCUCUGUUCCUCUUUUCCUCUCCCCUCCUGGUAGAAUCCUGCAUGAUUCCUAACAUUUCAUUUUUUAAAAUCUCAUCCCGAGGAUGUAAUUGCUUGAAAGCGUUUAUUUACUUAAGGGACUCUUUACUGAAAACUCCAGGCUCUUGACUACUAAUAUCAUACAUUUACGUAAUUGUGUAAUUAGAAAUCAAAUGACGAAUGUUUAUUUAGGCUCCAUUUUUCACUCAUGCCUCCAGUUCUCCCCGUUCCAAGUGCGGCACGCUGCUCCGGGCUGAUUUCUGCUCUUCUGUGCUCUUGAGCACAUGGCCUUUUGCAAUAUCACCCUCUCUCCAGCUCAGCAACCUUGCAAAUGCCCACACUUAAUUCCUCCCUGGCCCCUACUCAAGGCUGAUGAAUUAUUACUCAUGCAAAAUCUCAUUAAAAUCAUUGAGAAUUUGCACAAAUGAAGCACCCCAGGAUCUGGCACAAUAGCCCUACUCUGCUGCCUUACAGAGUCAGUAUUAGAGCUGCAUCCUUAGCCAACGUACAUCACCAUCGACGUAUGCUGCUGGCUCUAACUAACCCCUACUCCAUCCCACAUAAACGGCAGUCUUCUUGUAUCUCAUUUCGUGCAGCAGAAUUUUUCCCAGCAGGAUUGAUAACAAUAUAGCCUCGUAAAUAAUGUUCCCCAAUGGGAUGCUGUAUUGGUGUCUGGCUAUUAAUGGUUGUAUAUUUUUCUUCAUAAUGUUCAACUGCCUUAUUUAUGAUUAAUGGGGCUCACUGUCUUUCUAAGGAGUAGUAGAAUGGUUAUUACUGGCUGGUUUGUUGUUUUUUAAUAUAUAUUCUUUUUUCAAAUUGAAGUGUUUGUUACUGUUAAAGCCCUCUACUGUUAAAGGCGUCCUUAAAAGCAAAA